AGCUUCCUACGGGGCGCAGCAGUGAGGAAUAUUGGUCAAUGGGCGCGAGCCUGAACCAGCCAAGUAGCGUGAAGGAUGACUGCCCUACGGGUUGUAAACUUCUUUUAUAAAGGAAUAAAGUGAGGCGCGUGUGCCUUUUUGUAUGUACUUUAUGAAUAAGGAUCGGCUAACUCCGUGCCAGCAGCCGCGGUAAUACGGAGGAUCCGAGCGUUAUCCGGAUUUAUUGGGUUUAAAGGGAGCGUAGAUGGGUUGUUAAGUCAGUUGUGAAAGUUUGCGGCUCAACUGUGAAAUUGC
rnacentral:rRNA from 1 species